UGGCGGCGUGCCUAAUACAUGCAAGUCGAACGCUUCUUUUUCCACCGGAGCUUGCUCCACCGGAAAAAGAGGAGUGGCGAACGGGUGAGUAACACGUGGGUAACCUGCCCAUCAGAAGGGGAUAACACUUGGAAACAGGUGCUAAUACCGUAUAACAAUCUAAACCGCAUGGUUUUGAUUUGAAAGGCGCUUUCGGGUGUCGCUGAUGGAUGGACCCGCGGUGCAUUAUCUAGGUGGUGAGGUAACGGCUCACCAAGGCCACGAUGCAUAGCCGACCUGAGAGGGUGAUCGGCCACAUUGGGACUGAGACACGGCCCAAACUCCUACGGGAGGCAGCAGUAGGGAAUCUUCGGCAAUGGACGAAAGUCUGACCGAGCAACGCCGCGUGAGUGAAGAAGGUUUUCGGAUCGUAAAACUCUGUUGUUAGAGAAGAACAAGGAUGAGAGUAACUGUUCAUCCCUUGACGGUAUCUAACCAGAAAGCCACGGCUAACUACGUGCCAGCAGCCGCGGUAAUACGUAGGUGGCAAGCGUUGUCCGGAUUUAUUGGGCGUAAAGCGAGCGCAGGCGGUUUCUUAAGUCUGAUGUGAAAGCCCCCGGCUCAACCGGGGAGGGUCAUUGGAAACUGGGAGACUUGAGUGCAGAAGAGGAGAGUGGAAUUCCAUGUGUAGCGGUGAAAUGCGUAGAUAUAUGGAGGAACACCAGUGGCGAAGGCGGCUCUCUGGUCUGUAACUGACGCUGAGGCUCGAAAGCGUGGGGAGCAAACAGGAUUAGAUACCCUGGUAGUCCACGCCGUAAACGAUGAGUGCUAAGUGUUGGAGGGUUUCCGCCCUUCAGUGCUGCAGCUAACGCAUUAAGCACUCCGCCUGGGGAGUACGACCGCAAGGUUGAAACUCAAAGGAAUUGACGGGGGCCCGCACAAGCGGUGGAGCAUGUGGUUUAAUUCGAAGCAACGCGAAGAACCUUACCAGGUCUUGACAUCCUUUUGACCACUCUAGAGAUAGAGCUUCCCCUUCGGGGCAAAGUGACAGGUGGUGCAUGGUUUCUCA
rnacentral:rRNA from 1 species